GACGUAGGGGGGCCAGCGUUGUUCGGAAUUACUGGGUGUAAAGGGUUCGUAGGCGGGAUGGCAAGUCGGUCGUGAAAGCCCCCCGGCUCAACUGGGGAGGGUCACUCGAUACUGAUCGACUCGAAGGCAGGAGAGGGUAGUGGAAUUCCCGGUGUAGUUGGUGAAAUGCGUAGAUAUCGGAAGGAACACCAGUGGCGAAAGCGGCUUCCUGGUCCAGCACCGACGUCAGGCACGAAAG
rnacentral:rRNA from 1 species